AUGACCCGCCUCCUGCUGCCUGGACUCCGCCUCCUCGUCUCCGCCCACACAACGUCAACCUCACCCGCCUACCUAGUCCCGCCGACCACUCCGUCCACACACCCUGGACUCCGCACCUUCUCCACUCAAGCCCCUCCUUCACGAACACGGUCUCCACAUGCUCUGCUGAAGCCCGAGAUUACACGACAGCUGUCGGUUGCCGCACUAUGGAGCAGCCCCUCCCCCCCCCAAAAAAAUGUAUUGGUGGCACGUCGUGCUAUCAAGCACAAAGCUUCUCUCUUGGAAGUGGUGAUUAUCAGUGUGGUCCUUGGUUUUAUCAACCUGGUAUUGAUUGUUCUCACCAUUGUUGGCUGUUGCUGCAGUAAGCAGAAGAAGCAAUCGGAAAAUCCAUAUUCGGUGGAAGUUUGGCAGCGCUAUGAAGAAUUCUCUAAUGAUAGCCCUGUGGUUCUUCCAAGGGCACGUUCAAAAAAUGAACAGAACAAUUCCCUUCAGUGUGGAGCCCACCUCAGCAGAGAGCAAAGUUUCUCAAACCCAUCCUUCAAACCAGAUUACCUCAUUCAUCGGCACAAAAGCUGAACAUACAAGUCAGGAAGACAUGCACUGGCCUGGCAUACCGAAAUCAAACACAGUGUAUCAUAAUAUCAUCAGUCAUUCUUCGCUCAAUCAUCGAUACAUAAAUCUAUCACACACCAAGGCUGAAAUUAUUUACACAACACUUUUUUUUUCAUCAAUAUGUAUAAAUAGCUCCAUUAUAUAUUUUAAGCAGUGGCAAGAUCAUUUCAAUUUCAGUUUCCGCAGGUGAGUAUAUUGUGUGCUGAUUGUUUACAAUUGCAGAGUUGUAAUUCUUCACAUUAUUUCUUCAGCACCAAGGCGGAUUACAUGAAAUGGUCAGAUUUACUUAAUAUAUAUACAUGUACAGAUGAUCAAAGUUUCUUGAAAACUAACCUUUUUUCCAUCAAUUAAAAAAAAAAAUGAAUUCUACAAACAUGUCUCAAAGUGUUUUGCAUUGUUUUAUCUGUUGUUUGCACCUAUAAAUGUUCCUUUUUUUAUAGAUGGACAUUUUCUUCUGUUUUAUCAUCAUUAUGCGAUGUUUUCCAAUCAUAUAUAAAAUCUCAAAACUGGAAGAACGUUCACUUAAUCAAAACAUUGUAAUGUGUAUUAUGACUUCUGAUGAUGAUAAGCAUGAGCAAUCCAAUUGUAGUACUUGCAUAUAGGUAGCCACUAUUCUUGGUUCACGAAGGCAGAACAGGUCAC
rnacentral:lncRNA from 1 species